rnacentral:rRNA from 1 species
UACGAAGGGGGCUAGCGUUGCUCGGAAUUACUGGGCGUAAAGCGCACGUAGGCGGACUCUUAAGUCGGUGGUGAAAUCCUGGAGCUCAACUCCAGAACUGCCUUCGAUACUGAGAGUCUCGAGUCCGGGAGAGGUGAGUGGAACUGCGAGUGUAGAGGUGAAAUUCGUAGAUAUUCGCAAGAACACCAGUGGCGAAGGCGGCUCACUGGCCCGGUACUGACGCUGAGGUGCGAAAGCGUGGGGAGCAAACAGGG